GGGGUGAGGACAGUGUCUGGUGGGUAGUUUGACUGGGGCGGUCUCCUCCCAAAGAGUAACGGAGGAGCACGAAGGUUAGCUAAUCACGGUCGGACAUCGUGAGGUUAGUGCAAAGGCAUAAGCUAGCUUGACUGCGAGAGUGACGGCUCGAGCAGGUACGAAAGUAGGUCUUAGUGAUCCGGUGGUUCUGAAUGGAAGGGCCAUCGCUCAACGGAUAAAAGGUACUCCGGGGAUAACAGGCUGAUACCGCCCAAGAGUUCAUAUCGACGGCGGUGUUUGGCACCUCGAUGUCGGCUCAUCACAUCCUGGGGCUGAAGUAGGUCCCAAGGGUAUGGCUGUUCGCCAUUUAAAGUGGUACGCGAGCUGGGUUUAGAACGUCGUGAGACAGUUCGGUCCCUAUCUGCCGUGGGCGUUGGAAGAUUGAGAGGGGUUGCUCCUAGUACGAGAGGACCGGAGUGAACGCACCACUGGUGUUCGGGUUGUCAUGCCAAUGGCAUUGCCCGGUAGCUAAGUGCGGAAAAGAUAAGCGCUGAAAGCAUCUAAGCGCGAAACUUGCCUCAAGAUGAGUCUUCCCUGGGCCUU
rnacentral:rRNA from 3 species